GCGGGAGUAAUUCAGUGGUAGAAUGUUUGCUUUCCAAGCAAAACGUCGCGGGUUCGAGUCCCGUCUCCCGCUCCA
rnacentral:tRNA from 2 species